AUUGAACGCUGGCGGCAGGCCUAACACAUGCAAGUCGAGCGAGCGGCGGACGGGUGAGUAAUGUCUGGGGAUCUGCCCGAUAGAGGGGGAUAACUACUGGAAACGGUGGCUAAUACCGCAUACCAUCGGAUGUACCCAUAUGGGAUUAGCUAGUUGGUGGGGUAAAGGCUCACCUAGGCGACGAUCCCUAGCUGGUCUGAGAGGAUGACCAGCCAGACUGGGACGGAGACACGGCCCAGACUCCUACGGGAGGCAGCAGUGGGGAAUAUUGCACAAUGGGCGCAAGCCUGAUGCAGCCAUGCCGCGUGUAUGAAGAAGGCCUUAGGGUUGUAAAGUACUUGCAGCGGGGAGGCGUUACCCGCAGAAGAAGCACCGGCUAACUCCGUGCCAGCAGCCGCGGUAAUUC
rnacentral:rRNA from 1 species